rnacentral:rRNA from 1 species
UACGUAGGGACCGAGCGUUGUCCGGAUUCAUUGGGCGUAAAGAGCUCGUAGGCGGCUGCUCAAGUCGAAUGUGAAAACUCGAGGCUCAACCUCGAGCCUGCAUUCGAUACUGGGCGGCUAGAGUCUGGUAGGGGGAUCUGGAAUUCCUGGUGUAGCGGUGGAAUGCGCAGAUAUCAGGAGGAACACCGGUGGCGAAGGCGGGAUCCUGGGCCAAUACUGACGCUCAUGUGCGAAAGCGUGGGGAGCAAACAGG